GAGACCCACGCCAACAGUUGCCAGCUCGUCCUCCGGGAUGGUGGGGACACUGUUGGGACCGCCUCUGCUAAAGAGGAGGAAGGAAUGGGCAACGGUAGGUCAGCAUGCCCCGAAUUAUCCGGGCUACACGCGGGCUACAAUGGGUGGGACAAUGGGUAUCGACACCGAGAGGUGAAGGCAAUCUCCUAAACCCAUCCUUAGUUCGGAUUGUGGGCUGCAACUCGCCCACAUGAGGCUGGAAUCUGUAGUAAUCGUGUCUCAACAUGGCACGGUGAAUAU
rnacentral:rRNA from 1 species